rnacentral:rRNA from 1 species
UACAGAGGGAGCAAGCGUUGUUCGGAAUUACUGGGCGUAAAGGGCGCGUAGGCGGCUUGGUCAGUCUCGUGUGAAAUCCCUCGGCUUAACUGAGGAAUUGCACGGGAAACUGCCAUGCUUGAGUUCGGGAGAGGGAAGCGGAAUUCCGGGUGUAGCGGUGAAAUGCGCAGAUAUCCGGAGGAACACCAGUGGCGAAGGCGGCUUCCUGGACCGUGACUGACGCUGAGGCGCGAAAGCUAGGGGAGCAAACGGGAUUAGAUACCCCUGUA